GAUGAAGAACGCAGCGAAAUGCGAUACGUAAUGUGAAUUGCAGAAUUCAGUGAAUCAUCGAGUCUUUGAACGCACAUUGCGCCCGCUAGUAUUCUGGCGGGCAUGCCUGUUCGAGCGUCAUUUCAACCAUCAAGCCCCCGGCUUGCGUUGGAGCCCUGCGGCUGCCGCAGGCUCCCAAAUCCAGUGGCGGGCUCGUCGUCGUACCGAGUGCAGUAAACAUCCUCGCUCAGGGAACGUGACGGGUUCUUGCCGUGAAACCCCCCACAUAUCAAGGUUGACCUCGGAUCAGGUAGGAAUACCCGCUGAACUUAAGCAUAUCAAUAAGCGGAGGA
rnacentral:misc_RNA from 1 species